ensembl:lncRNA
GCCCCGCUAAGCUGGGUCCCUCCCUGUCCUCUUUCCACCUUCCAGUGAAAGCUUUUCUCUUGGAAGAGCUGCUUUGGUUAUAAUUUCCAUUUCUACUAAAAUGAGCUCCGAUGACAGCCAACGACCACUGGGUGCCCGAGACAGGCUGUUUCCUCUGUGGGUGGCCCUGGUGGGGGUGGGGGAUCCCUGAGAGGAGACGGGGACCUCAGCUCACCCCACCCUCAGGGCAGGCUGUAGGUUCACAGACUUCUGUCACAGAAAAGGGGGCUUUCAAGACAGGGUCUCCUCAUGAAGUCCGGGCUGACCGUGAACGUGAGGUGAUCCUCCUGCCUCAGCCUGCCCAGUGCUGGGAUUACAGGUGUGCGGCACCACACCGGGCUUUGUUCUUAGCUGUCGAGGCCUGAAGGACAAGCAUUGUCUCAGGAGAGCUUGAAGAGACCCAGAGACCCCAAGCCCUGCUCAGCGGGUGGGGAAAAAGGAAAACUCAGCCAGACGGGUGGGCGGCUCUGGUGGGCCCACCUGGGCCUCUCUGGUGACCACAGCCUUUGUGACCCACAGACUCUUGUGGACACGUUGUACCUUGGGGUUAACCCUCACAAUGUGACAAAAGACCCAAACGUCAGCAUCACCCUGGACACGGGGUCUUUUUAUGGCGGGUAAAGCACCCUGUUUAUACAACACGGUGGCCCUCAUCUGAAGCCUGCCAGAAGCAGAUUCAAGUCUGAAAAAAUUUAAAUACCAAACAACACUAUGUAUAUUUACCUUUUCCAGUACCAGAGCGUCCCGUCCAGAUCCCCAUGCUCACCACUGACGUACAUCCCCGGCCCUUUAAAAAACUGUUUUUGAGACAGUGUCUCACUCCAGUCACGCUGGGGGUUGAACUCUUCUGCCUCAGCCUCUGAGGUAGUUCGCAUGGCAAGCAUGUGCUUGCAUGUCCAGCUCAGCUUAGUAUUUUUAAACGGAGACAUUUCACCACGAUGCAGUCGGGGCCAAACUCUACACGCAGUGACGGCUGGAGCGCUCUCUCCUCGGCUCAGCGGAGUGGUGGGACAGGACAGCGUCCACACACGGAAGCUGCGGGGCCGGCGAGGAGUCAGGUGGUGGCAUGUUGGACCAAAGAGCUCUGCCCCAUCUGAUCACGGCAGCGGCUGCGGGAUGCUGGACAGAGGCUGAGGUGUGGAGGACUGACGCGGGAUCAGCCUACCCAGAACGAACGGGCCACGCUGCCAGUCAGAACUAGCAGGAGUGGGGACCACAGGCGGCUCAAGUGGAACCCCCAAGAAAGUGUUUUGGUGUUUGUUGUUUUUGAAGGUCUGGAGGACCGAAGGGCCCGCCUGGACCCUGAGCUACACUACCUAGCACUUGAAUUCUUUUUUAGACAGGGUCUUAAAUUGCUUGUUAAAUUGUUCAGCCUGGGUGUGAACUUGAGAUCCUCCUUCCUCAGCCUCCCAAGUGCUGGGAUUGAGGCGUGGGCAUCACGCUGGGUUAUGACAGAGUUUGGGGUGGCUGGCUGGGUGGCCACCUGUGCAGUCCUCCUUGCAUCCGACACCACGUUCCUGGGCCCCUGUCCGCGUGCCCAGUGCCCAGUGGGUGCAUCUGCGCUCCGGGUCCCGCCCUUCACCUCCAUCCUGGUGGCUGGGAGUGACGCCUGCGUGGGGCCUUCUACCAGGUGAGGUCACACUGGGGCCACGAGGCCUCGACAGGAAGCCAACAGAACAGGCUGCGGCCACUGAGCCACCGCUGGCGAAGUUUCUCACGUGAUCGGGCACGGGCACUUUCACCUGGCACAGAACCGCUGCUGCCCAGGCCAUGUGGUUGGCCAGAGCAUGGCAGGGUCACAGCCUCAGGAGGCCCAGGACUGCUGGGGACAAAGGCCUGCUCCCUCCCACCACCACACACGCAGCUCUGUUGUGUAUUUAUUUUAAAAAAGCAUAGGAAACAAAUAAAAUGCUACUUAAGUCUCUACAUAAAUAAAUAAUUUCCAGUGGCAUUGCAGCAUGGCCCUGCCUGUGUCCGGAGGCCCUUCCUGGGCAGCUUCCUCCGGACCAGGGGAGGUGGACAGGAUCCACGCAUGGCCCCUGAGGACCCGAGUUACCCACAGAGAGGAGCUGGGACUGCUCUGGUGCUCAGGGUGCCAGUGUUUGGCCCAGAGUGCAGAGUCACCAGUUAGAAGAGCCACCAGGUCCCUGCAAGAGCUGGCGAUGUGUCUCAGCCAGGGAGACAGCAGGAAGCCACAUGGCAACCGCCACUGGGCUCCUCCGCCCAGGGUGCCACCGCGGGUCACGGGGCCUCGGUACCUGGACAGGAGCCGCCCUUCAGCAGGGCAGGGGCCAGGACCCACGUCGGGG